GUUGUCCAGGAACCAGGAUGAAAACUGCUGAGUAAGCAGAGGGCACCUCUUCAGCUCACUCUUCUAGAGCAGAGAAAACCAAAUCAGGAAAAAAGAAAGAAAUGUUCAGGAUCAUAACUAGCAGAGAUGAAAUUUCUUCUUAAGCAUAGGGUGCAAAAGGGAUGGAGAAUGUAAGUCCUCUUCUCCGUAGAUGGUGGAUACAACAUGUCAAAGAACAGAUAUUUCUUGCAGGCCAUCAUCAUCUCCGCGAUGCAGCUCACGCCAAGUUGACAAUGCCAGAUAUUUAUAACCAAUAUGAAUUUCAUAGAAAAUGGAAAGUGCUCUUCUAUUUUAGUGGAGAAUGAAGGCUCAUCAAUACAACUGUCCCUAGAGCAAACAGGAACAGACAACAUGUUAUGUGUGGGCAGCAUAAAAUUUCCUUGUGUGGUCUUUUUUUUUCCAAAGUAUUGUUACAUCUGAUUAUUGUCUAUUUAUAUUGGGAGCCAGAGGUAGUUUGCGCUUCUAUAUGGAAUUAAAAGGAAUAGAAAAAGG